CUCCUGUUUCUAAUCAUUGUGACAACAGCCUUAUUUGCAUAAAUCCUCUUCCAGCGAAUAGAAUGGGCAGUUUUGGCAGGCUUAGACAAAAGACUGUCCUAAAUAUGAGGUUUUCACAUUGGUUUGUCCCAUUAUUCAGCUAACUAAAGACCCUGAUGACAGCCCUCCAGAGUAUGUACAAGAUUCUACUGCGUGACUGGGAACACAGAGGGAGAAAGGGAGAUGAACUAACAGUAAAGAAGGCGCGUUUGGUGAGAAAAAAGAAGACUAGGAGUAGAAGGAAGAAAAGAGGGGCUUCCCUUCCCCCAAAGAAUCGGUACAUUCCAACAUAUGUCAUUUCAAAUUGCCAUGGAAAUUUGAAGAAGAAAGACCAGCGUGCUACGAGAAAGAGAAACAGUGGGGAUCUAAUUUUGAUGGGGAGAGUAAAGGAAGCGGCGCUCUGAAGAAUGAAACUUGAACUGGGAGCUGACAGAUAAGGGGCAAGCAGAUCCUCUUUCCACCUUUUCCUUCCAUCGUCAUAAUGGAAGUCCAUUGGAUGACGUAAUGCAGAUAACACAGCUGCUCAUCCGCAAGGUGAAGGAAACUAAGGAUCAGAGUGGGCCAGCAGUGGAAUUACUGGAUCAAAGAUAUAAACAUCUUCAUAAAGCUCUUCAUACACUUUGUCAAACUGUAUCCCCAAAAGACUGGGCCCACUGAUGCUCCCCCCAGCAGGGGAUGAAAUCCCCAUUAUGCUCAGUCCUCCUCUGUAUGGGCUUCCGUAUCCGGCCCCACAUAGUGGUACUUUUAUUACAGCGGUUCUAGAAGAAAAGGCUUCUGCCUCUUCCGCCAUCAGAAGCAACAGCAUCUAAUUCACACCAAUUGCGUCACGUGCCCAUCUCCAGACCAACCACAGGGGUCAAGAGAAUGCAACACUCUAAUUGGCCAGGCUGGGACACACGGCAAACCUUGGGGUCCAGAGUGGAAUCAACAACGUCCCAAAGAAAAGCAGGUACCAGGAGAAGAGAAAACUAGAAAGCAAA
rnacentral:lncRNA from 1 species